UAUUUCUUCUGUGUUUACAUUGAUGCAAGCGGCCGAGCAGCUGAUUUAUCUUCAUUUGUCAGUUUGAUGGACUGGUACUAAUUGCGUGAGUAGGGUGCUCGUUUCCCCGCCGAUGCGCGGCUUGUGCAACAGGUGAUAUUUAGUUGCUAGUGCACAUCUCUUUCUGGAUGCUACCUGCCAAAGCUGUCAUUAAGAUUUCAGGUGUGUUUUUAUACAAGCAGAGUAAAAUGUCUGGAGGCAAUAGGAUCCUUUUUGGGGGGGUGUGUGGUAAUGAGUUUACUUGCUCCUUUUAUGCUGAGAAGCAAUAACAAUGCCCAAAGUCUGAAAGUUUGUGUGCCAUCAAGCAUGAUGUUACACUGUAGUUUUCUCUGGUAAGAAAAUCCUGAACACAAUUGGUUUGGGAGUUUUCUUGUAAAAUAUACUGUGAGAAAAACGACAAGAUUUAGUUUUGUUUAUCUAGCUUAAAUAUAAACAAUCUCAUUUUCAUAAUGUGUGAAAUUUGUCUGUUUUAAAUGGAGUGUUCAUCUGCUUCGUCUGGAAGUGUCAGUUACUCAUACAUGAUGACAGAAGUGCAUUAAUAAGGCAGUCAGGAACAAAAUGCCAGGGCCAUCACGUUCUGUCUCUUGACACCCUGGAAAUCCUACUGUUUAGUUUUCACUUACCAUGGCAGAUUGCCUAAGUAUCGAAAAGAAAUGCACCUAAUCCUGAAAUGCACUUUUGACCCCUUGUCUUUGACCCUGACACAUGCUGACAUUGGAAAUUAAAUUUUGGCAGUUUUGCUGCAUUCAGUAAAGGGAAGUUUGCAGAGGCAGACAGAAAAUCUAUUCCUACUCUGUAGAUUUAUCACAAAAAUGCCGAAAGCAAACAACAAAGCAAGUUUGCUUUAGUGGAAACAAACUCACACCUUUGCUCUUUCAAAGAUCCUGUUUACAAGUUAAAGCCAUGGCUCAGACUGUCUUUCUUCUUAAACUACCAAUCUAUAGGUGCUGCCUGAAGGCACUUGCAAAGGAAAAGAUCAGGAGAUAUCCUGCUGCUAUCAUGGUCUAACAGAAGCACUUGAUGUUCUGAAUACUGGAUGAUUGUGUUUCUGUAGUCUGAGAGCCUGGAGAGCUGAAGCUGAAAUAGAGGCACAGGUGUGCUGUCACCAGCAAAAUGAUUGCUCUGUGCAGAAAAACUCCAGCUGAAGUUACCCAGACCAAUACAAAUCUUUCUGGCUCAAAGUGUAUUCCCAAUAAGCCUAUUAAUGGGUUAUAUCCUAAAAAGAUUCAGAAAAGGUCAGUUGAAAGGACUCCUAAUGUUACCUUCCUCAAAGGCUCUGCCCACGUUGAGGCACAGUUUGGGUUCAGCUCUAGCUGUUCCAUUAGCAGCCUGGCAAGAGCUUGGAUGAGAUGUUAGGAACUAUAUUUUCUUCUUGGAGGAGGAGGAGGGGAAGGUUUUGAAUUUUGUUAGAAUUAAACAAGGUGCUGUGAGGCACAAGUGGCUUUGUAUAUUUUUAAAACAUUUUUAUUUACUUUUAUUUCCUUACUGUGACUGGAUUUGUGCUAAACAUUUUUCUGUGUUACAGGUCAUGCAUGAGACAAAAUUCAUCGUGGAUUGCUUCUAAGACUGUUGUCAGCAUGGAAUUCCCUCUCAGAAUGGAUCCAAUCUGUAUUUGGAGAGAAUGAAAUAAAAUCAUUAUAGAUCGUGAAACAGAUCUAGCAAAGAAAGUGCUGUGAGAACAUGACAAGAAAUUUCUCCUGUCACAUGGUGGUUGUAAAAGUUAAUGCACAGAAAGAAAGUGAUGAAGGAUUUGUUAUGCUGGCUAGAAAAUAAAUGCAAUAAGUGUGUAGUGUAAUUGGGAAGAAAACCCAAGUAUUUUGGUGCCCAGUUCUGCGCUCUGUUUGCUGGCAAAGACUAAUUUGUAUUUUGGCACUCUAAGAAAGUGGUACAUGGAGGUGACUUGAUAGGAUUGCUGAUAACUUGUCAGGUUUCUGCUGGGCACUGUUGUUGGUACAGUUCUGGUGUGAAACUCCAUUUUAAAUAUAGAAACAGAUAUGUUAAAAAGAAGUAAAAUAUCCUCUUUUUCCUUUCUGUCCAGGAAAUUGCUGUUAACCCUUUUCCCAAACCGUUUCCUCUUUCCAGAAGAUGUUUUUACAGUAAGUGAAGUAGGCAGUGUGGUGUCAGGAUACCAAACAGAAGAUAAGCUCCAAACUUCAUAGCCAUGGAAGUUGCUGAUGGCUGCUUUUUACUUUGCAUUUCCUCUUGCUGGCUGGUUCUGCAUCAUCACUCCCUCAUGUGUGUGUGUUUAUUACAUUCUCAGUUAUGACAUGGCAUUUUUUACUUGCAGUGAAAGAUCACUACAAAUAUAACAGAAAUGCAAGGGUAUUGUUACAAUGCCUCACCUAAACAUUUGCUCAAGAGCAGGUGCCUUAUCUUUAAAAUCCUCUGGAUGGCACUGAAGCCUUAGAUAUAUAUACUCAGAGCCUUUUCUUUCGGGUACCAAAUCCUAUUAUCUAGGUUAGCUCAUCUGUAUUCAAAAGAUCAAUGUUGCAUUAUUACAAAGAUCCUUUCAAGUGUAAAAAGGAUGGCACUUCAUUACAGAAAGUAAAAGAAACUAAUCAAACUUUCUUGGUGAAAUCAUUGACUUUUUAUAGUAAAGGGCAAAUUUAAGAAUUUGAAAGUCCGAAAUGUAAGAGUCUUACAGUUGAGGCUCUGUGCUGCUCUAACUUAAAUCUCCUGUAGCACAGUUCUUGGAUUUUCAUAUAAUCUGGAGAAGAAAGUGGUGUAACUGUCCUGAUGGCUUCUGGCUAAGCCAAGUUGACAUUUGCCCUGCUGCAAUCUGAUAUUCUGUGUUGCUUAGGAAGUGUCCAGUGUGCAAAGAAGGUCUUUAUAUGAGAUAAUCUCAUUGCUGAGGACAGUUAGUUGUGCCGUAGCAGAUACUCAGUUAACCUGAAAUCAUAACGUGUUUGAGUCCUUGUCUAGGAUGUCUUUUAGCUUUGUGCAACUUGUCAUAACAAAUACUCAGCUGUUUUUCCCUUUUUUGUUAUGUUUCAUUUGUCAAAGGACAGCACAGAAUUGUACAGAUUCCUAGUUUAUUUCUGAUAGCCAGAUCUCCUGUCUCAUGUCUCUUCUUUGUAGCUUUCCAAAUGCUUUGUUACAGAAUUGGUUAUUACUGCCUUACACUGCCUAAGGAUAGAUCCAGGACAGAACUCAGACCACUGAACUUCAGAGAACUGGUGCUGAUUAGCAGCUCCUCUAUAAACACCUCACUGCACGAGAGGAGCUGCCAAAGGUCAGUGCCAUAGCAGAUCUCAGCAGCACUGAAAGCAGACCAGUCCAACCAGCUUGUACCAGUUGGCACUUUGAACUCAACUCCUGCUUCUCCAUCUCAUCUCAAACAGUCUUACACUUCCUUCCUUGGUCAAGGUUUAGAGGAUGCAGAACUGAAAUCCUCUGCCAUUUUACCAUGACUCAGGAAGGCUAAAGUAGACUGCACAAAGCUAUCAAGCUGGAUUGCAAGUCUUUUUAUAAGGCUAUUUUCCUUACAUUUCAGCAUUUUAUUUGUUCACCAAAUGUUUUGACUGAUCCAUCAUCUUCAGGUGUUGAUUUCAAUGGAAACACUGUGCUUGAUCUAAAGAACAACACAAAUAAAUGUUGACUGUAUCAGUAUCAAUCAAAAUAGUCUUACUAUUCUUCUGCAAGAAUUUAGAGGAAAGCGAGUUGUUUGGUUUUUUUUUUAUAAACGUAUGUUAUUGUUAACCAUCCUUUGUAGAAUAUGGCCCUACUUAAAAAGGUAUUAAAAAUAUUUUCUGUGUUUUCAGACAUC